rnacentral:rRNA from 1 species
CCUACGGGGCGCAGCAGUAGGGAAUAUUGCUCAAUGGGGGAAACCCUGAAGCAGCAACGCCGCGUGGAGGAUGAAGGUUUUCGGAUUGUAAACUCCUUUUGUUAGAGAAGAUAAUGACGGUAUCUAACGAAUAAGCACCGGCUAACUCCGUGCCAGCAGCCGCGGUAAUACGGAGGGUGCAAGCGUUACUCGGAAUCACUGGGCGGAAAGAGCGCGUAGGCGGGAUAGCAAGUCAGAUGUGAAAUCCUAUGGCUUAACCAUAGAACUGCAUUUGAAACUGUUAUUCUAGAGUAUGGGAGAGGUAGGUGGAAUUCUUGGUGUAGGGGUAAAAUCCGUAGAGAUCAAGAGGAAUACUCAUUGCGAAGGCGACCUGCUAGAACAUAACUGACGCUGAUGCGCGAAAGCGUCGGGAGCAAACAGGAUUAGAUACCCCAGUAGUC